rnacentral:rRNA from 1 species
UCUCUUAAGGCAAUGGUAAAUUGAUUCCCUGUGCAAAAGAGGGUUAACCCCAUAAGACGAGAAGACCCUGUGGAACUUCAAAAUCAGCGGCCACCCCUACAUUACAUUUCACUCCCACAGGGUUCACACCUAUUAGCCACUGGCCCGCAUUUUUCGGUUGGGGCGACCUUGGAGAAAAACAAAUCCUCCAAAUAUUGGACCAUCCCUCCAGACUAAGAGCAACUACUCAACGUGCGAAUAGCAACCAGAUCCAAUAUAAUUGAUCAAUGGACCAAGCUACCCCAGGGAUAACAGCGCAAUCUCCUCCGAGAGUCCAUAUCGACGGGGAGGUUUACGACCUCGAUGUUGGAUCAGGACAUCC